rnacentral:tRNA from 1 species
GGGCGUUUAGCUCAGUUGGUUCAGAGCACUGCCCUUACAAGGCAGGGGUCAAAGGUUCGAGCCCUUUAACGCCCA